CCUACGGGUGGCAGCAGUAGGGAAUAUUGCUCAAUGGGGGAAACCCUGAAGCAGCAACGCCGCGUGGAGGAUGAAGGUUUUAGGAUUGUAAACGCCUUUUGUGAGAGAAGAGAAUGACGGUAACUCACGAAUAAGCACCGGCGAACGCCGUGCCAGCAGCCGCGGUAAUACGGAGGGUGCAAGCGUGACUCGGAAUCACUGGGCGUAAAGAGUGCGCAGGCGGGCUUGUAAGUCAGAUGUGAAAUCCUGUCGCUUAACUACAGAACUGCCUUUGAAACUAUGAGUCCAGAGUGUGGGCGAGGUAGGUGGUAUUCUUGGUGUCGAGGUCCCAUCCGUAGAU
rnacentral:rRNA from 1 species